rnacentral:rRNA from 1 species
CCUACGGGUGGCAGCAGUGGGGGAUAUUGCACAAUGGGGGGAACCCUGAUGCAGCGACGCCGCGUGGGUGAAGAAGCGCCUCGGCGCGUAAAGCCCUGUCAGCAGGGAAGAAAAUGACGGUACCUGAAGAAGAAGCCCCGGCUAACGACGGGCCAGCAGCCGCGGGAAUACGUAGGGGGCAAGCGUUAUCCGGAUUUACGGGGGGUAAAGGGGGCGCAGCCGGCGAUGCAAGCCAGGAGUGAAAGCCCGGGGCCCAACCCCGGGACUGCCCUUGGAACGACUUGGCUGGAGUGCAGGAGGGGCAGGCGUGAUUCCUGGUGUAGCGGUGAAAUGCGUUGAUAUCAGGAGGAACCCCGGUGGCGACGGCGGCCUGCUGGACUGCCACUGACGUUGAGGCCCGCACGCGUGGGGAGCAAACAGGAUUAGAUACCCUAGUAGUC